CCUGCGAGGAGACACCGACUCCAGGCAAGCGUUCUACCACCCUUGACUUUGAGCACCUUUUGUUUCCUCGGCGGGUUCGCCCGCCAGCGAGGACCCCCUAAACGCUUUGCAGUUUGCAGUAUUUGUCUGAAAAACAUACCAAUAAUCAAAACUUUCAACAAUGGAUCUCUUGGUUCUGGCAUCGAUGAAGAACGCAGCGAAAUGCGAUAAGUAGUGUGAAUUGCAGAAUUCAGUGAAUCAUCGAAUCUUUGAACGCACAUUGCGCCCCUCGGUAUUCCGUGGGGCAUGCCUGUUCGAGCGUCAUUUAAACCCUCAAGCUCAGCUUGGUGUUGGGUGCUUGUCCCGCCCCCGCGCGGCGACUCACCUCAAAAUCAGUGGCAGCCCGCACCCGCCGGCCGUGAGCGCAGCACAGUCGCGCCCUAGGCAAUUGGCAGGUCGGCUCUCCAGAAG
rnacentral:rRNA from 1 species